CAAUUUUACAGCACAAAUGCAAUACAGUUGAUAUAAUAUAACCCAUUAGCCCAUCCUCCCUACCUGUUCCCCACGCAUGCACCCACCCAAACCAACACAUGGUACGCUCACACAUGUACCCACAAAAUAACAUUAAAAAAUAUAAAAUAAAAUAAUAUAAAAUGAAAAAUAAAAUAUACACACAAACAAAUAAAUAAAGUCAAUGGAAAAACACUAAAGAACAUGCACUAUUAUUUGAAUAAAAUUAUAAAAGUCGGAAAAUGAUGCUGUAUAUCUGAAUGUGAUCUGCAAUUCUAACCUAUUAUACUGUUACUAUUUACAUACUGCUUCUACUGAAGAGCCACAGAGAUAAAUAAAAGAGAUGACAAGAGGAAAUAAUUAUUAUGCUACUUAUGUAUAUGCUCCAUGAAUCUUUUUUUAAUUCAAUCAUAAAAUAUAUUUGUUCACCGGAAUACAAAACACA